rnacentral:rRNA from 1 species
GACGAACGCUGGCGGCGUGCCUAAUACAUGCAAGUAGAACGCUGAAGGAGGAGCUUGCUUCUCUGGAUGAGUUGCGAACGGGUGAGUAACGCGUAGGUAACCUGCCUGGUAGCGGGGGAUAACUAUUGGAAACGAUAGCUAAUACCGCAUAAGAGUAGAUGUUGCAUGACAUUUGCUUAAAAGGUGCAAUUGCAUCACUACCAGAUGGACCUGCGUUGUAUUAGCUAGUUGGUGGGGUAACGGCUUACCAAGGCGACGAUACAUAGCCGACCUGAGAGGGUGAUCGGCCACACUGGGUCUGAGACACGGCCCAGACUCCUACGGGAGGCAGCAGUAGGGAAUCUUCGGCAAUGGACGGAAGUCUGACCGAGCAACGCCGCGUGAGUGAAGAAGGUUUUCGGAUCGUAAAGCUCUGUUGUAAGAGAAGAACGAGUGUGAGAGUGGAAAGUUCACACUGUGACGGUAUCUUACCAGAAAGGGACGGCUAACUACGUG